UAGUAUCAGCCAGGUGUAAUU
rnacentral:miRNA from 1 species